UGGGGAAUAUUGCACAAUGGGCGCAAGCCUGAUGCAGCCAUGCCGCGUGUAUGAAGAAGGCCUUCGGGUUGUAAAGUACUUUCAGUCGGGAGGAAGGUGGUAAGGUUAAUAACCUUGGCAAUUGACGUUACCGACAGAAGAAGCACCGGCUAACUCCGUGCCAGCAGCCGCGGUAAUACGGAGGGUGCAAGCGUCAAUCGGAAUUACUGGGCGUAAAGCGCACGCAGGCGGUUGAUUGAGUCAGAUGUGAAAUCCCCGGGCUUAACCCGGGAAUUGCAUCUGAUACUGGUCAGCUAGAGUCUUGUAGAGGGGGGUAGAAUUCCAUGUGUAGCGGUGAAAUGCGUAGAGAUGUGGAGGAAUACCGGUGGCGAAGGCGGCCCCCUGGACAAAGACUGACGCUCAGGUGCGAAAGCGUGGGGAGCAAACAGG
rnacentral:rRNA from 1 species